AGAACAGGUCAUGCAGGGCUUUUCAGCAAGCCCAGGCACUUUUCUGCAGCAGUCUAUUGACUAGAUUCAGCCUCAGGGGGACCUCCGCCCUACCAAACCACUGAACCCGCCUUUGGAGAAGGAGGGUCAUGAGCAAACACCGUAAGUGAUGAAGAAUUACAAAUGAUGAAAGAAAAUGCUGUUCCUAAAAGCUCUAAAGAUGCUACAAAGUUUGGUCUAAAACU